UAACUAUAGAUUCGGUUACUUAAUUGGUCCAGAAGGCCAAUCAAUGGCAAAAAAUGCUUAUAAUUGAAUGCAAAAUAACAUAAGAAUAUCAUGAAAAUAAAUUAAGAUUUGAAGAUAGCUAAUAUAAUUCAUUCUCCACUUAGGCUAUACAGAAACAGUUUUAUAUGGUUUAUAUUAUAAUUCAGGACGUUAUGGUGAGUCAUUGUCUCCCAUUAUAUUUAUAGGAGCUGUGGGAAAGUUUGAAAUCCUUUUCUCUAUAGGUUUUUAAUAUGCAUAAGUAUGGUAAUCGCGGUCCUGCUGUGUUGCAAACAGGCGCAGCAGAUCACACAUGUGCUACACAACUUCGGACCAUACGAAGUCGCCAAGAUGAAGACAUGCAGAGUCCAAGGCUGAAAAAAAUGUGACCAUUACUUUACCCACUGGAAGUGAGCAGGAGGAAACUGGCAUCAGUGUUAUCAAAUGAUAAUCCAACAUGAGUGAUGCUUCUGAGGAGGUGCGCUGCUCUUUGAUGUGAGAAAGGAAGGUUGAGAGAGCUCUCUCCAGCACAUGCCACCCUCAUUAGUGUCCAGCAGCUGAAGACGCGAGGUCACAAACCCAAUGAGUUGCCCAUUUCAUUCAGCUUUGCCGACAUGGAAAGAUGACCACUGUGACAUAAUGUUGCGGUGUGGUCUGACAGCACAUUGUGUGCAACAUACAAAGUAGCUUGAAUAACCCUUGAACCUUGUGUGGAGUGCAUUAUUUUUUUAUGAAAUUGCUAUAGGGUCCAACUUUUCAACAUUCUUGUAGAUUUUAUUCAUUCAAUAAAUUGUGCAUUUUUCUAAA